UGCUAUUAUCUUCCAAAUUUCUUUUUCUCAUGCUCUUCCUAUAGCCGUGGUUUGCUAGGGUUUUCUUCCUCUUCUCAUGCUGUUCGACUUUGCCUGCUUCGCCUGAUAGGUAGAGUUUCGAACGAGUCGCUAAAUGACUUCUUUGCCUCGUUCAACGACGUUCCUUCCUGUCGAAUCCCAUGUCAUGGUAGGAUGCAUUAUUCUCUUUGAAGUUCCAAUGAAAUUCCCGUUCUGAGUAGUUGCAGAUGCAUAUUUAUAGUGGAUCAGUGGAUGAGGUUGUUGUGGAAGAAGCAUGAAGCAUGCCUCGUUGGUUUUUGCAACAUGUUGUGUUGUUGUGGCUGUUAUUAAUUUUUAAUUACCAGUGCUUAUUUGUUUUAUUAAGUUUUCAUGCCAUGUUGCAUUUACCUAUUUGAAUCUUUCAUGGUUAGGUUCUCAUCUCUUUAAUUGAGAAUGGCGAGGCAUCAACAAUGACCUUAUAUUCCAGAAGUAAUAGAUGCUUUCAUUUUUUUUUAUAAGGGCUUGAGCAAGGAGGACAACUUGAAAGCUUUUUCUCUUUUUAUUUUUUUUUCUAUGAUAGAGUUAAGGAGUUGUCUUUGGAUAUCUCUUUAUUAAAGUUACAUGAAACAACUUUGGUGUUCAGAAGAAUUUUAAUCGAUUCCCCCUCCUCCCUCUCUCUCUCUCUCUAUACACACACACAAGCACAUACAUGCAAAUAUAACAUUGAUAUAUGGAUAUUUAUAUGCAUUUAUGUAUGAUAAACUUCUUGUAAUUAAAUUGCCCUUAACUUGAAAAAAUAUUGUAUUUGUGUGGACAAUGAGGAGAACUAUAAGGAUCGUGAGACAUUUUUUUACAAUUAGUGUCCGAUAGUUAUUGUUGUCUUUUGUUUAACUCAGUUAUGUAAUCAUUGAGAUUUCUCUUGGAAGAAUUUUGCUGGUGAUUGCCAACAAGUGAAUGAUCUUCUUGAAAUCAGGUUUCUUAUACUCUUUUUGCAUUGGCGAACAUCAAGGAUGGCCUGAAAAUUCUUAGGCAACCGAUGUUCUGAUUUUACCUUUUUAUGCUUGAGAGAAAUAAGCCUCAUGAGGCAACCUGUGCAGACAUCAUGAUUUUAGCUUUUUAUGGCUAUAGCUGAGAGAUAAUAUUGGAAACUUGUUCUCACUUUGAUCUCUUGGUUGUUUGGUCGAAAGUUAAAAAAAAAAAACUUUGUUGGUGACUGGAAUCCCAGUUGUGGUCUGCUUUCCUGCUAGCUGGCAAUCCUCCAUGCCCUGGUAUUGUGGCAGCUGCACUUUAAUAAAUUAUGGAGCUUACAAAGUGUGGUGCUUUGAACCGCCAAACAAUCUGAAGCAUGUUUCGGUUAUGCAUUACCUUACAAAUUUAGAUGCUGGAUUUCGUUUUGGAGAGGCAGUGACAAUUAUUGUUGGUAAUUUGGUUGAUUCUUCCUCUACUCUAGCAAUGGGGUUUUAAGGAUGGAAUGGAACUCCUCUACCAACGUACUGGUAGUGCUAUAAAAAACUUCCUAUAGUACUGCUUCUUUUUCCAAUGUUGCUGCUGCUAUGAGAACUUGAGAACCUACUUCUAUUUAGUUUUUUAGCUGCAUGUUCUAAGCUUUUCUUGGAUUCUUUGCAACAGUAGGAUCUGGAGGCAUUUGUUGCUGCUAAAUAUUUAUUUUCAAUGAUUAUAUUUUAAUGAUUGAUGAAAACUGUUUGUCAAGAUAGUGAUGAGCUUGAUGAUAUCAACAACAUCCUUAUCUGAAUGGUGUGGAACUAUUUGAUUUGUUUCUCUGGAGUGAUCCCAAUGAAAACUUCAUUUGCAGAGGUGAUUGUUAUGGUGAUGCUGCUUAUGAUGAUGAUGGUCUCUUGAGCCAUAGUGAAUGAUUGCCUGCCUCAGCACUAGGGGUGUAAAUGAGUGGAUUUAGAGCUACUUAAGUGUUGUCAAAUGAGCAAAAAUUGUGUUUAGAUCUUUAACUUAUCUCGCAAAGCAAAAUGCUGUUUACAGACAUAAAGCAUAUUUGUAAAGUUAGAUGUAGCAAUUUAGUUUAUGAAGAGCAACAAUGCGGUUUAUGAAAGUUAUUUUUUAUCUGA